GCACCUGUUUCUGGCGAUUGGAGAAGGCUGCAGCGCUGGUGUGGCUGCUUUGAUUCGGUCGCUUUCCACUCUUUUCCAGGUAUGCUCGCUGUUUGAUUUCUCAGUUCUUGAGAUGAAAAACUUCUGUUUCUCUUGAAUUGUGUUCUGUCGUUUCCAGGUGAAGACUAGUGGAUGAUAGCGAUGCGGUUUGUCGAUCUUCUUUGGUUCGGUGGCGUUUUCUUUUUUUGCAGGGACGAAGAUAAAGGCAGGGCUGAUCUGUGACUCUCCUGUAUCUUUUCUUCUCUGUAUAUUUUUUUUGUGUUGUGAUUCUUUUGUUUUGUUUUUCUCGGCUCUGUUUUCUUGUUUUUCUCUGUUUUUCUGGGUUGUAUUUUUUAUUGCUCUGUUUUUCUCUAGGUUGAUCUCUCCCUCCCAUUUUUUUUGGUUUAGGUUUUCUUCCCCUUUUAUAGAGACCCAGCCGCUAACCAGUCCUGCCUUUGCAGGACUGUUAUCUUCCACGAACGAGAUCGUGGGCGAGAGCCGUGAUCCACGAUUGGUUCAAAUCCGUUGCAGAUGCAAAGGACUGUUAUCUUCCACGAACGAGAUCGUGGUCGAGAGCCGUGAUCCACGAUUGGAUCAAAUCUGUUGCAGAUUUUCAGCCUGUUGAAUCGGGAUGGAGAAGACGAACACGGCUAUUCCACCAGCAACGACGAUGUUUUGGCAACACUGUAUUCCUAGUAUCAACGGCAUCGUUUCGGCAACAGUGGCAUUUUCAUUUUGACCUCUGAACUUUGGAAUUGUAACCGAUGGAUCUCAAUUGAAUAAAAAUUCCUUUUAAUUUUGCCCCUUUUUUAUAAGUUUCAAUUAAAUCCCUCAAUUGGUGCACUGUUUACAAAACAGUCCUUAAUUCCUGGAUUAUUCAAUUUGAU
rnacentral:lncRNA from 1 species